GUGCUUGCUUUGGCCACACAUAUAGUAAAACUGGAACAAUACAGAGGAGAUUAGCAUGACCCCUGCACAAGGAUGACAUGCAAAUUCGUGAAGCAUUCCAUAUUUUA
ensembl:snRNA U6 U6 spliceosomal RNA